GACGAACGCUGGCGGCGUGCUUAACACAUGCAAGUCGAACGGAAAGGCCCUGCUUUUGUGGGGUGCUCGAGUGGCGAACGGGUGAGUAACACGUGAGUAACCUGCCCUUGACUUUGGGAUAACUUCAGGAAACUGGGGCUAAUACCGGAUAGGAGCUCCUGCUGCAUGGUGGGGGUUGGAAAGUUUCGGCGGUUGGGGAUGGACUCGCGGCUUAUCAGCUUGAUGGUGGGGUAGUGGCUUACCAAGGCUGUGAGGGGUAGGCCGCCUGGGAGGGGGACCGGCGACCUGGCGACUGCGAGACGGCGCAGUCGCGUACGGGCGGCAGCAGGGGGGAACAUUGCGGAAUGGGGGGAAGCCUGAUGCAGCAACGCUGCGAGCGUGAUGCCGGCCUUCGGGGUGUAAACCGCUGUCGCCGGUGACGAAGCGUGAGUGACGGUAAUGGGUAAAGAAGCACCGGCUAACUACGUG
rnacentral:rRNA from 1 species